ensembl:misc_RNA Metazoa_SRP Metazoan signal recognition particle RNA
GCCAGCGCGGUGGCACAUGCCUAUAGUCCCAGCUACUCAGGAGGCUGAGGUGGGAGGAUUGCUUGAGCCCAAGAGUUCUGGGCUGUAGUGCGCUAUGCCAAUCGGGUGUCCACACUAAGUUCAACAUCAAUAUGGUAACCUCCCAGGAGUGGGGGACCACCAGGUUGCCUAAGGAGGGGUGAACCAGCCCAGGUCAGAAACCGAGUAGGUGAAAACUCCCGUGCUGGUCAGUAGUGGGAUCACACCUGUGAAGAGCCACUGCACUCCAGCCUGGGCAACACAGUGAGACCCCGUCUCCU